CAAAUGGAAGAAGCUUUUAUUUGUAAAGAAAUGAACUUACAACUGGUCUACAAUAUAUUAUUGUAAUAUAAACAAUAUAAAUAAAUGAUCCUGUAGGCCCACUAACCUUCCAUCCAGACCCACAUGAAGCAAUGUUACAACAAUAUUCUAUGUGAAAAUGUGCAGGUUAACAAAGGUGCAAUUACAAGCAAGUUUAAGCAGCAGAGUAUAAGGUGCUUUAAUUUAACAGUUAAUGUUGCCAUCAACAAACAUAUGAAUGUUCAAUUUUACUUCACUGAAUACAGACACAACAAAUAUGAAAAUCUAAAAUUCAUACACAUGCUACUGUUAAUAUGAAAGUGCUUUCUCUUUUAAAAAAAUACACCAAAUGGACAAGCUUUUUACAUAGAUCAUGGUGUGCUCUUAUAAUGCAAAAUUAACUUCAUUUUCAGGUUAUACAUUUUAAAACUGGUAGCUACAGACACCAAUCUAGGAAUGCUAAUGCUAAGAGUUCUAGAACUAUUUCCUGUGAGGAGGACUCUAGUACAAUAUCCAACAUAAAGAAUACAUCUAUAUAUAAUCUUAACAUUUGUUUUUUAUAAAGAUAAAAAAUGUUUUCUUUCCCCUUGUUGAUGCUUUUUGUUCAUUCUGCAUGGAUCAGUGUUUGAGGUUUUAAAAUAUGGAAAUCCUAUUUUAGGACAAUGGGAGGAACCAAAAGGAGGAAUUUAAAAAAUCAGUUAACAUGUGCUUGAAGCAUC
rnacentral:lncRNA from 1 species